ensembl:lncRNA
CCAGCCCUGUCACACCCCCCUCCCAGAACUGCUGAAGGCCUCCAAGGUAUGCGUUACUGCAGGAAAUGGAUCAUGGUCUGGACACCACAGAAAGAACCAUCACCUUUCUAUUGAGCUGUAUUGAUGGCAGUAACACAGACAGCAGCCUUAGACUUUGCUUCAGAGCGGUAUCAUUUCAGAACAUAGGUUUGUUUUUUUUAAGAUAUCAGUGCAUAGCUGUGUUCUGUUCCCAGCUUACAGAUAGCCUAGGUCAUCUAGUUUUAUGACAGAAACAAAGGGGGAAAAUAGACAAAUAAUUCUUAAGCAGAACUAGGACUAAAAAUUAUAUCCAGCUUACCAGAAGUAAUCUGGGGGAAAAUUAAUGCCCUGCUUUACCCCUAGACAGCUUGCAUCCUUGUAACUACUGGACAUAUCAAUAUAGUAGGAAAAACAUCACAACAAAGGCAUGAUGAUGGAAAAACUAACACAAUAGAAAGAAGCUACAAAAAAGGGGAAAAGAUUGCUCACCAGCAACAGAAGAUUCUAUGAUUGCAAGGGAAAGCUCUCAAAAGGAGGGAUCUCCAAAGAGAGAUCAUUCCUCACCGGCAGUCAGCCCUUAAAUGAGGUCUAAGAGAGGUGCAGCCAGGCUCCACCCCUUUUGGUCACACACCUGAAUUGACUUCAUCUGUGCUCCCAGGGCUGACUGGGUCCUUUCCCCAGGUGCUCAAUCAGUGGUUCAUGCCAUUACUCAGCAGUUCCCAUACAACCAUCAAGGCCAUCAGGAGUUAAAGUUGAUACAACUAAAUACAUGCCAUGCUUUCUGCUUAAAUGUUUCUUGAAUAAAUAAUAUACCCAGUGAAAACUUCUAGAGAAGCAUUACAAAGAGCUGUUCUAUACCAGGGACUGGACUUCAUCCUUAUGGGUCCGUCCAACUCAGAACGUUCUACACUUCUGAUUUAUUUAUUUAUUUUGUACAGAAGGAAAAGCCUACUUGUCUGUUUUUCUGUGAUUGUUUUGUUGGCUUCUGUUUUAUUUUUUUCUUCCUUUAUUUCUCAACUCCGUCCUUCCCCGCCCCUCCCCUGCAACAUGUGCAUUUCAGUGAGUCUGAAAUCGCAAAGGAAUCAGAUAACCCUUCUGUUACUCCAGCUGUUGAUGGGAAUUCAUGGUCUGCAUGUCUGGGUUACGCAGCCACCUCCACCGAGGACAGUUCCAUCUUCUCUCAGGGCUAUGACGUGACACCAUUUCCAAGUGUUUCUUGUAACUUGAAACCUGAUAAUGGGUAGGAAAAUGGAAAAGAGUCAUCUCCGCUUUUGGCACUCGAGGUUUCUGUUUUGCCAGUCACCUUCCUUGUUUUUCUUCUUUGCCUCUCAUUCUGUGUUUUCAGUUAAAAAACAGUGAAGUAAAAUCUUUGGGAGAGAUCUUUCAGUAUCUCAUAUUCGAUCUUUUCCACUGAGAAAGAAAUCUACCUGGUUGUGAUCACUGGAUGAUUUCUGGGUUUUUGUUUUGUUUUGUUUUGUUUUUUGCUUUUUUGUUUUGUUUUGUUUUUUAAUACAUGUACACAAUAGGAAGAUGGUAAAAAUCCUCAGGAUGUAGAAGAAGAGCAGAGCAUCUUUUGGAGAGCACUGGUAGAUGAACUGCUCCAGUUGUCUCUGUAAGGACGAUAUUGUACUGCUCUCCUCAGGGCAAAGUUCUGCCUGAAAAGAUUUCUUGAACACUAAAAUAUGUUGUUCAGGAAUUGCUGUUAAUUUUACUUGCUGGCAAUCCUUUCUAUAGCAAUUACUAUGGCCAUAGCAGUCCUCUGUACAUCACCUUUAUAUCUGUUCUUGAUGCUGAAGCUUUGAUUGUGAGUGCCAAUAACAUACACACAAAGUCUGUUAUGAGCUUCCUUCCUCUCAGAACUCCCUUGUAUUCACAAAUACAAAUUAAGGGAGAGCCAUGUUGCUCCUAUCCAAACUGCCUAUCCCUGACACACCCAGCUGAAGCUGUCUCGAGCUCAGUGUUUCAGGAAGGAAUUUCAAUUUUUCAUAAAAUUUCUUUACUAUUUUUAGCAUUAAUCGCGUGGACAUCAGCAACACUUCUGUGAACCUGUCCUCCUUUUUGACUCAGACCUGCCUCAGAAGCUUAGAGUUUUCCAAACUAUUACUAAGUGUUGCAGGCACUUUCCAAGUAAUACAUAAGAUCAGUGUGAUGUUUAUUCAUGUUUCCCCCGUGUUCCAGAAAGACCUCUGUAGUGAUCUUUAAAGCAAAACCUGUUGUAGUACGUCCAAUUCUACCUCUAGUUCCCUAUUUCUGUUGUCAAACCAGGUUGUUAAACUAUGAGUGAGGGUGAGUUUCUCCUAAUUUGCUCCACGCUCCCUGCAUGUUGACUUUAUUGGGACUUUUGCUUAUGGAGGUCUUUCAUUGCUGGGAGUUCCCUGGCAUAGCAUUUGCAUGGUCAUCAAGGCAAGGUGUAUACUGACGCUAAGGACACUGGGCUGGCGGCAGAGCACAGGCCAUUUCUCAUACUAUUUGGACUAUUUGGACUUUUAUAGGGUGUAACUUUUGGACUAUUCUCUGGCAGAUGUAAUGAAGAGAAUUAUGUUUCAAGUUGCACGUUGUUCACCAUCAGGAUUUCAAUGUGAAUAAUAAUAGGCACUUGUAGUACACAUGUAGCUUCAUUUCUAAAAUAGGAAAUAGUAUUUUCCUUAGAGAAAAUCACCAGAAUGGUGAAGGUAAGUUCCGAUUAAAUAGGUUAAUUAGGUUAAUAGGUUAGACAGAGCAAAGAUCAACAAAACUCAAUUAUUGAAGUUUCAAGACCAACAGAAAGAAGUAUUGGCAGAGAUUUUAAAGUAUUAGUGUCUAGUCUCUGCGUGGUUUGGAACAGGUUCAGCUUCAGAAGAUAAUCUGAGAAAUGAGUAGAUGCAAAGGGCAGUCCUUAACGUUGUAAUGCAGCAAUUGAGGUUUUUCUGAGGAACCUUUCACUUCUCAGGAACGGGAAUGGUGCUCACUUCUGAACUCAACUUUCUCAUUCAGAGUCUUUUCCCUACCUUUGGAGGGGUAUUCGGAGGGUUUUCCUAAAUGACACUAAUACAUCCAAAGGGCUGAAAAUGAGCAAGAGUAAUUGUCCUUGUACCUUUCAUGUGCUGUCAUCCUAACACAAAUCCACUGGAAUUUUGGCAGCUUUUUGUUGUUGUUGUUGUUGAGAUGACACCACCAGUCUUCUGGAGAAUUUCAAAGCAUUUAAACUGAUAUAUUUCACAAGUAAUCACAGCUGCCUUGCCCUUCCUAAAACUUACAUAAAGAUUUUAAAAGAGUAUACGUAGCUCUGCAUGUUUUUGAAACAAAAUAAAGUUUAUUAUAGUUGAAGUGGAGACGUAGCGUGGGCUUUAGCUCCAAUUGCAUCAUUAGUCCUGCCUACAUUAUUCAAUAUACUUCAGUUGUCAUACGUAUGUUGCAAAACCUAAAGUGUGCAGGGAACAAAUCUGGCCAUUAAAUUUACAUAACGCAUAGUGACAUUUCUCUGGACUGUGGGCAAACACAGGAAAAACAAAACUUACACUUCAGAAAGCCAUCUACAAAUGCAAGGAAAAAAUAGAUUAAGCACAAGGACUGUACUGUAAGAACUAGUGAGGAAAAUCUUUUACUCCAUUUUUAGGCAAGGUUUAUUGCAGGUAACUGGACUGUAGAGUGUAAAAAGCUGAAAUACCAGCUUGGAGUUUUAGGAAGAAGAUAAAAAGCUUUAAGACAUUAUUUGAGGUUGAUUAAACAUGUCAACAGUGUGGAGGAAAAGAGCGCAAAGCCCUUAUAAGUGCAAACAUAAAAUAUUGCAAGUGUUAUGGUAUUAGAUAAAAUAAAACAUAAAAAUAAUUUCAGGUCUGCAUCCUGGCUACUAAAACUGCACUUAUUUUCCAUUUGCAAUACUAUCAUUUAAGGAUAUAAAGACUUAUAUUUUAAGGGAGAUUAAGCAGGAUACAACAGGAAGUCAAGCACUAAACAGUUGUGAUGCCAUAUUGUUGUUUAAAAGAGGGAUUAAGUAGCAUAGAGGAAAGGCUAAGUCAGGGCUUAAACCAGUGAUUGAGCACCUGGUGGGAAGGCAGGGCCAACCCAGGGGAGCUCAGGUGCAUGUAAUGUAGCUAAAUGACUGGGAGUGGUGGACCCGGGAUAUACCCCUUCCCAGCCCUCAUUUAAGGGUUGGCAGUGGAAGGAUGGGUAUCUCUUGUUGGAGGUCCCUGUGAAUCUAUAGUCUUCUGAAGGUGUGGCACGAUACCGCAGUUCUUCAAAGCAUUAUGUGAACAGUACAGAUACAGAUGUCCUGAGUGCUUCACCUCAUUCACCCAACUGCACUUGAAGAUGUCCUUGGAAUGAGGAACACUUCAAAGAUUCAAGUCCAAGUUUCAAGUUCAAUGUGGUUGUUGAAGAGCACCAGUGUUUAAGCACUUUACUCCAGGCCUCUCUUCGGUUCUGAAAGCAUCAGAUAACAGCUGCAAGCUUUAAAAAGCAGCUGGAUAUAAGUGGUGUACCCUAUAAUCUGUUCAAAGCCUUUUGUACUGUAACACUUCUGUCUUUGAAACCAAUAAUCUCUUUUUUUUUGUUUCAAACUUUUUGAUGGAUUAUGUUUCUUGGAAUUGCCCAGACUCUCUAAACUGAGGUUUGUUUUGAGGAACUGUAGGGGCUGGGUUUUAAUUUGUCCCAGUUUUCUCCUCUUGCUGUAUUAUGCAAGCUUCUCAUUUUGUGUUUAUACCAUUAAGAUAUUGCUUAGGAAUACUAUUACUUGAAUAGUUCUGGAGAUCAAAUUGCCCAUGGAAAUACCACAUGCGAUAAUGCUGUUAUACUCUGAUUAUAUUAUAUGCUAUUGUGUAUUGUAAUUAGACAUAUUUUAAAAUAGUAUCCCCUAAGGCCAAUGAAAUCAUGUAAUUCAGAACUACUAGGUUAUCCUAAGCAGUCUGAAGGUUCUGGAUGAGUAGACCAGCUCCUGGAAGUCAGUUUCGUGGGAGACCUAUUGGACAACCCUGUGGAGAAAGCUGCUGGCAGCUACUACUGUCUGGGAAAUUGGUUAUAUAAUGUGUGAUGGAGUUUAAAGGGCCCAAGGGGAGCAUUUUGUUAACGAUAGGGAAUAAAACUGCCCAUAGGAAUACUGAGGAGCUGGAGGUAGGAAGCGGUUCCAGUGUUGAGAAUGUUUUGUCUUAGUUCUGACUGUAAGUCUUCUCUCAGGAAGAGAGGUGGAGUGGUUGGAUAUGUUUGUAGCUGCAUGCUGUUAUCUAAAACUACUUGUAUUUUUUAUACAAUACUUUGAAGCAAUUUCUAUGAAGUUAUGUGUUAAGCAUUGUUAUUAAUUGUAAGCAGUUGUUUGUAAUGCUUUGAACUAAGUAAAAUCACCUUCAGGUGAUUUUUCUUUUUUUUUCCCCCUCUAGUAUUAUCCUCACUAGUAUUGCUUCUGCACAUCCUUAACGGUACUAUGCUGAUACAACCUAUCUGAAUAAAGUGAAAUAAUGCUUCCUUUGCAGUGUUCAGAGUGCAGGCCUUAAUCAUCCUUAAUUUUUAAGUCUAAUCCUCAAGUUAGAAC